rnacentral:rRNA from 1 species
UACGUAGGGGGCAAGCGUUGUCCGGAAUCAUUGGGCGUAAAGAGCGUGUAGGCGGUCCGGUCAGUCGGUUGUGAAAGUCAAGGGCUCAACCCUUGAAUGCCGGCCGAUACUGCCGGGCUAGAGUCCGGAAGAGGUGAGUGGAAUUCCUGGUGUAGCGGUGAAAUGCGUAGAUAUCUGGAGGAACACCGGUGGCGAAGGCGGCAUCCUGGACCAACACUGACGCUGAGGAGCGAAAGCCAGGGGAGCAAACGGG